ACUGCUACUUUCAUGGUUCCUGUCUCAACAUUUAUGCCCAAGUCAUACUAAAUUGCUUUGUAUUUUUAGAAAAUUUGUUUUGUUUGGCUUUCCUCAUGUGAUCCACUUUUUAAACAUUCAAUCCAUACGCAAUAUACACAAAGAUUUAUCUGUAGAUAAAAAGUUAACUACAAAGAGAUUUCUGUUUUUAGUACUGGUAAACCUGUCUCUCACAGACAAUUUCUCAUUUUGAGAACAACUAUAAAAUUUAGAAAAAAAUACAAACAAAAAAAAAACCCAUCUGUUUAAGUACAUUGGAAAAUUACCAAGGUAGCAAAGACAUGAGAGGCCAAAUGUGAAGAGAAAGAGAACAUGACAGUUUGAGUCUACUUUUCCUAUUGAAACAUUUGCUGAUUCUAACGCAGUGGCUAACAAGCUGAGAAGGUAAACAAGAAAUUGUGGGUGAGAAAAACUGGGAAGAGAUUCCAACAGUUUUAUGUCAUAACAGCUGUUUGCUUGGGAUUCUCAAAAAUAAUCCCAAAAGGUUAACUAGAAUUAACCAUCUUUCACAAAGACUGAAGAUCAGUUUCAAAUAAACUCAAUCACUGGAAAAAGUGAUAACCACUGCCCAAAAGGAAAAAAAUAUAUAGACUGUCUAGGAAAAUAACAUCAUAGCCUCAAAUUUCUUUAAAGCGGUUUAUAUAACAUUAUGUAAUGUUGUGCAUUUAAGAAAUAAUUACCAGGUAUUAUCAGGACAAAACCAGGUAACCAAAAACCGAAAGGAAAAACAUAAAGAAAUAGACCAAAAAAGUAGAGCUAUUAGAGGUAUUAAACAUGGUAUUUAAGAUAUUUGUGAUUAAUAAGCACGAAGACAUUAAGUACAUU
rnacentral:lncRNA from 1 species